rnacentral:rRNA from 1 species
UACGUAGGGUGCAAGCGUUGUCCGGAAUUAUUGGGCGUAAAGAGCUCGUAGGCGGUUUGUUGCGUCGGCUGUGAAAUCCCGAGGCUCAACCUCGGGUCUGCAGUCGAUACGAGCAAACUAGAGUGUUGCAGGGGAGACUGGAAUUCCUGGUGUAGCGGUGAAAUGCGCAGAUAUCAGGAAGAACACCUAUGGCGAAGGCAGCACUCUGGGACGGUACUGACGCUGAGACGCGAAAGCGUGGGGAGCGAACAGG